AGCGAACGCUGGCGGUAGGCCUAACACAUGCAAGUCGAACGGCAGCACAGUAAGAGCUUGCCCUUACGGGUGGCGAGUGGCGGACGGGUGAGGAAUACUUCGGAAUCUACUUUUUCGUGGGGGAUAACGUAGGGAAACUUACGCUAAUACCGCAUACGACCUACGGGUGAAAGCAGGGGAUCUUCGGACCUUGCGCGAUUGAAUGAGCCGAUGUCGGAUUAGCUAGUUGGCGGGGUAAAGGCCCACCAAGGCGACGAUCCGUAGCUGGUCUGAGAGGAUGAUCAGCCACACUAGAACUGAGACACGGUCCAGACUCCUACGGGAGGCAGCAGUGGGGAAUAUUGGACAAUGGGCGCAAGCCUGAUCCAGCCAUACCGCGUGGGUGAAGAAGGCCUUCGGGUUGUAAAGCCCUUUUGUUGGGAAAGAAAAGCAGCAGGUUAAUACCCCGCUGUUCUGACGGUACCCAAAGAAUAAGCACCGGCUAACUUCGUG
rnacentral:rRNA from 1 species